CAAAAUCCUGUUGGGUCUGUAGCUCAGGUGGUUAGAGCGCACCCCUGAUAAGGGUGAGGUCGGUGGUUCAAGUCCAC
rnacentral:tRNA from 1 species